UGACACGCCCCGACCCUGAUAUUCCCCGAAUACCAGGACCAACACGUGCUGGCCGACACCCGGGGGUGACGAAAGCCAUUAAUUGAUACAAAAGCUAAGAAUAAGAAAUAAAUAAGGGUUAGAAAUUUGAAAUACAAUGAGUUAAAAGUUUUAGGAACGUGUUCAGAGCAUACAACUAAACCUAAUCACUAAAAAGAAUUAAGAUAAAAUUGAAUGAAUAAAGAAGUGGGUCCUACAUCGAGAGGAUCCGAAGAUGCUGCUGCGGAAGUGUCUUGACGCCGGGAUUAGGUGCCUUGAUUCUAAGUCCUGAAUGGGGGCGCAAAACAAAGGUGAGUGGACCAAGUUUAUAUAUAUAAUAAUGAUAAAACAGUUAUCAAUGUACUAACCCCCAAAGUUUAAUAAUGAAAACUACUAGCAUAAUAAAUGGUGGAUUUAACAAAAUCCUAGCAUGCCAAAUAUCUCAAAACUCAUAUAUAGCGGAAUAUCAUCGCAGAAAUCAAAACAAUAAACGUAUCAUAAAUCGUCUCGUAAACGCGGUGUGCUGCUAGAAAGAUCACCGAAUAAAUAUAACUCCCGGCCCAAUGCCUGCACCUAAGUCUCUGUGCCCGUAGCCAGAGAUAACUCCUUCCCGGCCCAAUGCCUGUCUCCGUGUCCCUCAGCCUUUCGCUAGGGAUUAUUUCUCCCGGCCUACAUGCCAACACCAGAUCCUCACCCCAGGCGGCAUAGUGUCUACUAGGUACGCACAAAUAUUUACGCCUCUCAUAAAUAACCACUUCAUAGCAUAGGUUACCGAUCAUCGUCUACACUAUAAAGAGGGGUUCAAAAACAUGUUCUAGCAUCAUAUCGUCAUCUAUCAGAUAGUCUACCAGUUCAUGAUUUUUAUAGAAAAUACGAUAUAUUAAAAUAUAGCUCAAAAUAGGCUAACAAUUAAUUCCUCACCAAAACACGAGACGAUAAUCAAUAUUUUUCAUAAACAUGCUUAACAUAAAUCAAUUCAUAAAUUUGCAGGCAUGCUAAUCAUUUAUGCAUUUACUAUAAAAUCAUGUAAUUUUAGAAGGGGUCCACUCACAGUACUUAGUUGCCAAAAGCUGCGCCACUAGCGAAGACGGAAACGUCACAAUAAUUGCCCCUAAGCACAUAAAGAGUUCAAUAAAUAAAACUAUAUAAUAGAAAUUGAAUUUGGGAAAACGGACAUUGGAAACGGAUUCAGAACGUCGAAUUACCCUAAGAAGGGUCCCGGACGAAAACCCGAAAAGUCAACCCUAAAGUCAACGUUGACCGGGGGUCAACGGUCAAAUUAGGUCAAACGGGUUUUAGGCUUGAACUCAGAUUAGGGUUUAGGGUUUUAAAUACGAUUAGGAUCUAUUGGGUUUUGGGUUUUCUAAGGUUUUUGGGUUUAAAAAGGGUUUAGGGUGAAAAUGGAUGGUUUGGGCUUAAACCCAAAUCCAUACAACUUACACACACACACACACACACACCUAAUACACACACACACCCACACGGGCUGCAAGCACACAGCCCACACCCACCAAAACCGGCCCUAAGGCCACACAAAAUAAAAGGCUGGGCUUUAGCCUUUUAACAAAAACCGGCCCAAGGCCUUUUGGGUCUUUAAAACAAUAACUAAAAAUAAAAAAAAUCAAACGGGCUGGGGUUUUGGGCUGAGGCAAAACGGGCUUAAGGCCCGAGGGGGAAGGGAAAGGCCGGAUGGCCAGGGUUUGUUGAAAGAGAAGGCCGGAAAUUCGGCUGGAAAACCACCUAACUUUAAAUGGCCAUAACGUUGUCAAAACUCAACGAAAUCAAGCGAGACAAAAACGAAAGUUGUAGCCCUUUAAGAGACUAAGAGAAUGAUACCUCACACGACAUCUAACUCGCCAUGUUUUGGCCGGAAAAUGCCUCGAAAGCCGUCGGACUCGCCGGAAACUGGGUAAGAUUCAAAUGAGUAUAACUUCUUCAAUGUUCAACGAAAUUGAGUGAAACAAAAAGGAAAGUUGUAGUACCCAAGGAGACGAAGAGAUUGAUACCUUACACGCCGGCCAACUCACCGUGGUUUGGCCGGAAAUGGCCUCGAAAGGGGCGGUGCUCGCCGGAGCUUACUCCGUGCCGUCGAACUUGCAGGGCAGGGUACGGGGUUCGUUGCGAGCCUCUCUUCGAUGGUGACUCGGUCCUAGUGAGUCCAGGGGAAGGGAGAGAGAUGCGAGAGGUUGAGGGAGAGAGAGACGGGAAAGCUGAGAAGGAGAGAGCUACGGGAAGGAGAGACGAAGAAG
rnacentral:lncRNA from 1 species